GAUGAACGCUGGCGGCGUGCCUAAUACAUGCAAGUCGAGCGAACAGACGAGGAGCUUGCUCCUUUGACGUUAGCGGCGGACGGGUGAGUAACACGUAGGUAGCCUACCUAUAAGACUGGGAUAACUUCGGGAAACCGGAGCUAAUACCGGAUAAUAUUUCGAACCGCAUGGUUCGAUAGUGAAAGAUGGCUUUGCUAUCACUUAUAGAUGGACCUGCGCCGUAUUAGCUAGUUGGUAAGGUAACGGCUUACCAAGGCAACGAUACGUAGCCGACCUGAGAGGGUGAUCGGCCACACUGGAACUGAGACACGGUCCAGACUCCUACGGGAGGCAGCAGUAGGGAAUCUUCCGCAAAGGGCGAAAGCCUGACGGAGCAACGCCGCGUGAGUGAUGAAGGUCUUCGGAUCGUAAAACUCUGUUAUUAGGGAAGAACAAACGUGUAAGUAACUGUGCACGUCUUGACGGUACCUAAUCAGAAAGCCACGGCUAACUACGUG
rnacentral:rRNA from 1 species